rnacentral:lncRNA from 1 species
ACCUCUGUUUUGAUUCUUCUGUGAGAAUUCUUGCUCAGGUGUGACUGGUCUUUUGCAGGAGCCCCUGUGACAGAUGGAGGCAGACAAGAAAUGAUCACAAGCUGAAUAUGCAUCGCUCUUCUUAACUCUGGCAGGAGCUUCACCACAAAUCCAUCACCACACUGCUGCAUAUGCAGCGAGCUGGACAAGGCCCUGGCUGUAGCUGAUCUGUAUGUACUCCAGCCAUGAGAUUAUCUUCGAUGCUCAGAGACAGAAGUCUCAGCUGUAUGAUGUGUUUGUUGGUGACUGUGAAGUCAACCUGAAUCCUAAGGGGCCUUCCACAGCUCAGACUCCAGCUUUCCCACAGACAGCAGCAGAAAUACAGAGCGGCUUCCCUUGACACCAUCUCACUAUGUUCCACCCUCUUUCUUCAUGACUCUUCUUUUUU